rnacentral:rRNA from 1 species
CAGCAGCCGCGGUAAUACGGAUGGUGCAAGCGUUGUUCGGAAUUACUGGGCGUAAAGAGUAUGUACGCAGCGAAAUAUGUCUGAUGUGAAAUACCUGGGCUUAACCAGGGAACUGCAUUGGAAACUGCUUUGCUAGAGUGUGAGAGAAGAUAGUGGAAUUCCUAGUGUAGAGGUGAAAUUCGUAGAUACUAGGAGGAACACCAGAGGCGAAGGCGGCUAUCUGGAUCACCACUGACGCUGAGAUACGAAAGCGUGGGUAGCAAACAGGAUUAGAUACCCUGGUAGUCCACGCCGUAAACGAUGAUAACUAGACGUCGGAGGUAUUGACCCCUUCGGUGUCGCAGCUAACGCAUUAAGUUAUCCGCCUGGGGAGUACGGUCGCAAGAUUAAAACUCAAAGGAAUUGACCGGGGCCCGCACAAGCGGUGGAGUAUGUGGUUUAAUUCGACACAACGCGAAGAACCUUACCUAGACUAGAAACUGAGUUAGAACGGUUUUCAGAGAUGAAAUUCCUUCCCCCUUCGGGGGGAACUGGCUUACAGGUGCUGCAUGGCUGUCGUCAGCUCGUGUCGUGAGAUGUUGGGUUAAGUCCUGUAACGAGCGCAA